rnacentral:rRNA from 1 species
AUUGAACGCUGGCGGCAUGCCUUACACAUGCAAGUCGAACGGCAGCACGGGUGCUUGCACCUGGUGGCGGGUGGCGAACGGGUGAGUAAUAUAUCGGAACGUACCUUAUUGUGGGGGAUAACGCAGCGAAAGCUGUGCUAAUACCGCAUAAUCCCUUAGGGGGAAAGCGGGGGACCGUAAGGCCUCGCGCAAUUAGAGCGGCCGAUACCUGAUUAGCUAGUUGGUGAGGUAAAGGCUCACCAAGGCGACGAUCAGUAGCUGGUCUGAGAGGACGAUCAGCCAAACUGGGACUGAGACACGGCCCAGACUCCUACGGGAGGCAGCAGUGGGGAAUUUUGGACAAUGGGGGCAACCCUGAUCCAGCAAUGCCGCGUGAGUGAAGAAGGCCUUCGGGUUGUAAAGCUCUUUUGUCAGGGAAGAAACAGCAGCUCUAACACAGUCUGCGAAUGACGGUACCUGAAGAAUAAGCACCGGCUAACUACGUGCCAGCAGCCGCCGUAA